rnacentral:rRNA from 1 species
GACGAACGCUGGCGGCGUGCCUAAUACAUGCAAGUAGAACGCUGAAGGAGGAGCUUGCUUCUCUGGAUGAGUUGCGAACGGGUGAGUAACGCGUAGGUAACCUGCCUGGUAGCGGGGGAUAACUAUUGGAAACGAUAGCUAAUACCGCAUAAUAGUAGAUGUCGCAUGACAUUUGCUUAAAAGGUGCAAUUGCAUCACUACCAGAUGGACCUGCGUUGUUUUAGCUAGUUGGUGAGGUAACGGCUCACCAAGGCAACGAUACAUAGCCGACCUGAGAGGGUGACCGGCCCCACUGGGACUGAGCCACGCCCCAUACUCCUAGGGGAGGCAGCAGUAGGGAAUUUUCGGAAAUGGACGGAAGCCGGCCCGGGAAACCCCGGGGGAGGAAAGAAGGUUUUGGGAUUGAAAAACCUUGUGGUAAGAGAAAAAGGGGGGGGGGGGGGGAAAGUUCCCCCUGGGACGGUUUUUUACCAGAAAGGGGCGGCUAACUACGU